rnacentral:lncRNA from 1 species
UUGUCGGGCGUUAUCAACCGAUACCGACUAGGGAUAUGAUAAUGUUCCCUUAGUCAGUUAACGGCCAACUCCAUCAACUCGAACCUCUCGAUGAGAGGUCUAAAGAGGUUUUUGGUAGUCGGCUGUUCAUUUGACUUAUCUAGAUCUGACUGAUUCUAUCGAGAAGAUGCCUCAUCACUCACCCCGAGUAAUCUCCUCGAUCAUCCUCUGGGC